AGCAACGAAUGUCAGACGAUCGGAAAAUCGCUCAAUUCAAACAAAUUGAAACUAUUUUCUUCGAUACGGCACUCGAUUCGAGUAUUCGGAAAAAAUCGGUAGCUACGGAAAACGAAGAGAUGAUGAUCAGACGAAGCGUUUUUUUUUUCUUCUCUCCUAUUUUCUCUGUGAUUUGCUUUUUGUUCGUCCGAAAUUAAACUUCAUUACCGGGUGAUUCGUUAACCCGACGAUCCGACACUGGCGAUAUUUUCUUUUCGCGAUAUAGCGCAGCAGCAUUUUUCAACUCGCAGUCACACAAAUCCUGACAGUGGUAGUAUUCAAUUAACUAGUCAGCUCGCGUACCGGCAUACCUCAUCGUUAGAGAUGAGACGGUCGUAGGCGAACCGACAAAUAUGGACAACCGAUGCAGUAUUCUGGGAUUCUGUUGGUGUACUUUGAUAUUAAUUAAAAGAGAAAGAAAAAAAAACAAUCAUACAUAGGGGAAAGCUUUGACUCCAAAUGUUGGAGAAACUUCGACAUGCUUCUGAUGACCCGACACAUUGUGAAUGAUUUUUCUUGAAUGUGAUUUUUGAAAGGAGUGGACAGACUGGAAAAUUAUCGCGUGUGACCUGGAGCGUUCGAUUGUGUAAUUCGAACGUCAUGGAUGGUACAGGAAUAAAAUUUGACGCUUUGAAUUGAACGCGGGUUAAGCGGGGUUGCGAUGAAUUUCAAUAGAACGACCGACACGUUAUAUCCAGCGUUUGAACGAGUCGCAAGGGGUGAUGCCCUCGUAAUAUUUGUCAAAGUUUCUCGACUCAAAGCCAGUGGAGUGUCAUUAGCAGGUGAAGCAAUUAAAAUUCUAGAUUGCCGAGGCUCGUGAAAAUCGCCAUUCGUUAAGGAGCUCAUUGUCCGAUUAUCUCGCAGCGUUUUACCGCCGAAAGAAAAGCUUAAAACACGGUCGGUAUAUAUACUAUACCACCGGGCAGAUGAUCCACAUAAUUUCACCCCAUCAAAGAAACUUUUUUUCAAACGAAUUAGAACCCGCAGCCGGGCGUUCGGUGGCUCACGGAAAAAAUAUCGCAAGUAUUAUUCGCGGUUUCAUCCACACCGAAAACAAUUUGUGUCUUCGUUACACAAUUGUCGAAAUAAUAACGUAUUGAAAAUUUUUCUUGCGUUGAUGGAAAAAUUUUAUGCGUAUCACGUGCGUGUGGCUUUUAUGCGGUAUUCGAUCAAUUGAAUGCUAUUCCUUAUUUGUAUGCGAUACGAUGAGAAUAAUUUUUGUUUCUUCACGCCGCGUAUACUAUAAAUGUAAAUGAUAUUUACUCGUUAUUUCGAUUCAUCUGCGUUUAUUCUCGUCUAAAAGAGGAAAAAAAUUGAAUAAUUUAUAUCGUUGUGUACUCGCGGUACAUACUUAUAUAUAUAUAUAUAUAUAGAAAAAUAUCGUAGAACGCGCCGGCACAUCGUGGGUAUGGUCAUGUAAAUGCGAGUGACGUAGAGUCGCGCAGUUUGGUAUUGUUCCGCGUGAAUAUCAUGGCAUUGGAGAGUACGUGGGGGGUGUUGGGGAGCGUUCGCCGCAGAUUUUACUCGAAUAUUGAACAACGCCGUGUGAAAAUAUAUCGGUACAGCAUUGUUCGGCGUUGUUGAUUAUUCAGAUCAACGGUUGCGAAGUGUAAUUUACGCACAUUGUAUUGUCAGCCCCGCGUAUAUUACUGGGCGAUGCGAAGUACGGGCGCACAUAAAAUAUCCAUUUAUACGAUAUACCGAACAUGCAUCGCACGGUAGUUACUUGAAAUUUGCUAAGUUCGUCUGAAGUAGCGCGAUGUGUUUGUCUUUCGAGAUACAAGGGAAGUGAAGCCAGUCUUUGAUCCUGAUAAUAUCAUCAGCCCCGCGAACUCCGUGGAACCGACAUCCUAUUUCGGGGGGACCACCGACCUUUGAAGUUCGUAGGACAUAUUCGAAAAGCUGAGGCAAACGUGUCGUUGUUACAAUUUUUCGUAUGAAUUAUUCAGCUUCGCUCUCGUCAUCAGAUUCGAAAAAUACGCCGCUCCUCCGAUCUUCCGGCAAAUUUCGGGUGAAGAGAAAAAUUGUUUUUUUUUAUUCGCGCGCCGAUCCAACAUUUCUCGCGUUUUGAAGAACGAGGUAUACAAUUUCGUAACGGUUUUGCUCCCGCGGAGCGACUACGUAUGCCUAUAACCCAACCCAACACGUGGCUAAUGAAUAAUGAAGAUGGAAAAAAGGUUUACCUGCCUCUAUACGAAUACCGGAAGUUACCGUCUGAUGCACAAAUUCCCUUUCACGUUUUUUAGUACAUAGAAGCUUGUAUUAUAAUCGUGGAAUGAAUAAGACGUACGAUUCCUUUGUUUUUAGUUCUCUAAUUUCUUCAUGCCACAGAGCGUAUUCAACUCUUGCGGUCUUCAUUACUAUUUGGUUUGUUUCGUCGUAUUUAACCCCGUUUUCCGUUUCGUUAUAUACACAGCUGACGUCUUUCCACCCCAAGCACAUUUCAUAAAUGCAUAUAAUGCAUAUGUACACAUCGAAACUAUAUAAAUGUGAACUUCGUCGUUGUUCCUUCGACGUAGAGCGUACGUGUUCCAUAAAGGAAUACCUGUCCAUGUACGACGUAUGCUAAUUUUCUGUCACGCGUGGUUUAUUUCGUAUGUUUUUUCUUUCUUUUUUCCUUUUUUUUUUUUUUCCUACUUUUGAAAACGUCUCAGCGGAAUGAUCUGCUAUACGUUGUACGACAUACGUGUACGCAUUAUACGUCGUUUCUCGCUCUAGAAAUUGAGGGGAAAAAGUAAGAGGAAAAAAGUAGACGAAAUAAAAAGGCGCAGAAACAGCUUGGAAAAAUAUGGAAAACUGCUACGGCAGAGAUUCGCGUGGCGAGGAAAAUAAAAGAAGAGAGAAGAAAAAAAAGAAAAAAGAUUGAACGAAACGCGAACGAGAGAGGACGGCGGUGCUGACUUUUUCCUGAACUCGCAUGACUCGCAUAUCAUAGGUACGGUAUACCAGCACACGCUAUAACGCGUAUACCACCGGGUCACAUGCUGUCCGUUAUUCAUGCUAGAAUUAAUUCACAAAAGUCAGCAUAUCGUGACAACGAAUGUGCACAGCGAGAUAAAAUUAAAGAAUUCAUGGGCAGUAAUUAGACGUGACACCCCGUUAUAAUAGGUGUAGCACAGUUUAUGCAGAAUGUGAAUCCCUGGUGUUUUCAUAAUAUGCACGUGUACUUUGGAUGACACACGAUCGUUUUCUCUCUUCGGGGGAUAGAAUUCUGACCCGUGCAGCCCUGGCUGUGAAUGCAAAGGAUUUUUUCAUCAGGUUCGAAGUAUUUUUCACGAGAAAUCUUUCGCUCUCUUCUUCAAUUCUUCCGUGGUUUCUUUUUUGUCUCAUACCGAAGGCCUGAAAGGGACAAAAAUUUGCGACACGGUGAAAUUAAAGGGCGCAAAAUUCUCCACAAAUUUGUCAAAUUUAACCGGGCUAAUAGCCGCCCGUAUGCCCGAGAUUAUUACCACUAUUCAUCAGAGUCGUUGCCAUACGAUUGUUCAUAAAUGGUCAUUCAUCUGCGAGCAGCUCGACAACCGUGGGAAAGUUCAACUAUACGAGGAGCCCAUUAUACAGCCUGGAAACAAUUCCUGGAGGAUUGAUGUGUGCGGUACGAAGCAACCCCCGUAUCCGUAAUACGUAUGAUAAUAAUAUUUCAAGGAAGACGGGAAUACAGGUAAAUUCCGUUCGAAACUUACUGGUGAUACUGUAGCGAAAAUGUUCUCAUAAUAAAUUACCUCAGCGUUCAAAGCGUCGUUUAUUUGACAAUAAUUUAAGCACGCCUGUAAUAUUUUAUCGAACAACCGCGGUCUUGUGACCUGGUUCCAAAGUGUGGGAGCUGACUGACUUAAAGUGAAUGGAGCAUUCUAUGAUAUGCAUAGGGAACGAGUGUUGUUUUAUACAGGUUCAUUUUACAUUCCUGCUACGAUGAUUGUUUCAUUUUUUCACCGUCGUUUCUUCAUUUUCCGAGGGAUUGAUGAAAUUCGUGUCCGUUGAUCGGAAGGAGCGUAACGAUUCGACGUAAAAUUGCAGUCGUGUUCGACAAAAAUAAGAUUAUCAUUGUUUGUUUCUCCGUUAUUUAUCGGGAUUCAGAUAUGAAGAGCGGCAACGAGACGGGUAUCUCGGUGCACGGGGAUCCAGAGAAACACGUAGAAAACUUUGGAAACUGGUUUUCCGCCUUUAUUUUACUUUUAGAAACAAAACCAGAAGAAUAAGAAAAAGAAAUAACGAAAAGUGUAUUACACCGAAGAAAGAAAUGUGUUCGUUCUCUUUGUUACUUAAAGCUCCGCCAUAUCCCAGCGCGGUCAGAGGCGUUCAAAGUUUUUGUUAAAACGGAAAAAUAGAAAAACUGAAAAUAACGAAAAUAAGUCGAGAAAAGGAAGAGAGAAAAAGUUUAAUCUUGUUGACGCUGGUCCGGAGUGCACUCUCUCUCUCUCUCUCUCUCGAGUUGCAGGGUAACUUUGAGAGACUGUCGUUUAUUUACGACUCUGAAAUUGAGGAAUGAAACUUACCGCGUCCGUUUGAUUUAUCACUUUGACGUUCGCGUGGGCGAAUAGUCGUCUCUCUCUUGGUCGGGUGAUGCUGCUACGGUUAACCACGUCUUUUACUUUAAACGGAGGAAGUAUAAUCCCUUACGAACGACCCUGAUCCGAUAUGACUCCCACUUUCUUACCUAAGAAUCCGAACGGAAACGAAUGUUGCAAAAAGUACGCGGCGUCGAAACGAAAAAUAAAUCCGCUACCCGAGGUUGAAGCACACUUUUCAAAGACAAAGAAAUAUAAUCAUAUUAGAUCGCAGUACGAGUGGAGAACUUCAACUACACCCCUCGUGCGAUUUGUAGUCCGAGAACGAGUUCGACAUUGAAUUCUAGAAUGUUGCUUUGAAUAUUGAAUACAAACGGCGAGUGGGUUUUUAAUCAAUGGAAAAAGAGUCUUACGCUUCAGGGGCACUUCUGUUCGGUAUGUGUAGCGAUAUACUUUUUCGACGUCAAUUUAUUUUCACCAAAAAUCCCCUCAAGUGUGCUGCUUAGGAUGUUCCUGGCUGUAAGAAUUUUACAACAGACGAAACAGAUUCGAGUUUUUUUUCGGAGUUGUCACUGUUUCAGGCCACAACUGCGAAAAAACGGUGCUUCUGCUUUGGAAAAAAUAAGAAGAGUAAAAAAUUAUUCAACCGAUCAAGAACAAAGGCCCGCUUUUGUAACCAAGCUACACAAAAAAUACGAGAUUUGAUUUUCGAAGGGAACACCCGCUACCGGUGGUUCGCCUCCGGACUAUACACGUUCCGCUGUCACGGCGAUCCGCUCUAUCUUUAUGGAAUCAGCUAGCGGCCGUUAUGGUGUCCCUGCAGUAAAUCUUUGCUCAUCCAUUGAAACCGACUGACAUUGGACAACGGCACCCGGUGGGUCGGCCCGGUCCCGCUCUUACGUACGUUGAGAAAAUGAAGACACCGUAAAGGGUUAUAAACGUCCGACGAGUGGGGGUUCGCGAGGCAAACAAUUUUUGAAUGAGAAAUGCAGAGAACACCGUGAGAGAUAGAUACUUUUCAUCGCUGUACUCGAGCGAGAAUAAUUGAAGACGAAAGAAACAAAGAUAAAUAAAAUGAGCUUUCGGAGCGCGGAGGUGAUUUUUCGUUGUGCCCGGAGCACACGUCGUAAGAAGAUGACGUCGUAUUUCAUAUUAUUUCCGAAGAUUUAUUUUUCGCAAAAUAAGAAGCUCGUCGAACAGCAGCGCGAAACAAACCGAACAAUUAACCAAAUCGUCGUUUGCGAGAAGCGAAAAUCGUUUCGUUUAAUUUUUUUUUUUAUUUCUCUUUCCCGUACUCACGAGGUAAAAAUGCGACGCAACGGAUUUCGACCUUUCCACGCGGAGCCACAAAUUGUGUUUUAUCGACGUAUAGUUUCCGUAUAUGAGGACAAUAUAACAACGAGUGGGUCGGCUUAUAUUGGCCAUCGCUAACGAAAUAGAUAUUUCAAGCGUGGUGAAACACGCCACUUUUUUUACCUCCACCUUCCCGUCCGCUUCGCCCAUCAAUGGAACAAACGAAGUUCAAUGAUCAACGAACCGAAUCACGCGUACGGCCUGCUCACAAAUAUAAAAAAGGUACGUUUAAUAUACACAGGGCAUAUGUAUCGGGAUAAUUUCUUCCGUCCGCACGUUAAUUGAGGACAUAUGGACGCGGUACCGGCUUGAACCUUGUUAACUUCCACCUCACAUUCGAGUAGUUACUGCUUCCAUUUACUGAAUUCGUAUCGACGCCUUCGAAAAUCUGUACGGAGCCGUUCUCGUGAUUGCCUCUGUUAGAAUCAUAAUUGGAAUGAUGUCAAAGCUAGCUCUACGACCAGGACUUAAAAAGACAAAAAAUGAAAAAUUGCAAUUUUCAGACGCGGACGAAAUUCCGUGUCAUUAGAAAUAAUCACACACGUUCUCGGGGAGGCUGAAACGAUUCAUUUGGAAAAUAAAGAACGGCGAGAGAAAGGGGGAAAAAAGUAAUUGAUUAGGUGAUUUGCAUGGAAUGCCUCAUAGGUAUACCUAGAUGUAGAAUUUAUUCGCAUGCGCCGUAACGUUUAACGUCACCGUAUCGCGUGGCGCAGUAAGACUGUGACGUUGUUUCAAAAGGAUAAGAAUUUACUCGAAAAAUACGCCUUUGCUAUCAAUUUAGCGAGGGGGCGUUGCCGCCCUCGGGAGUUUGUCAUUUCACUUUUAUUUCGGGGCUUUUUUUACUUGGCUCAAGAAUAGAGAAGGUUUACCCGAGUGAUACGAGUUUCCUUCGUUCGCUCGAUAGCCAUACCGAACGACUCGUUUUUCCACUUUUCACUUCCCCUGUUUUUCAUUUAUUCUUCAAUCUUUUUUUCCU